AUAAUAUAAGAUACGGUUUCUUAAUUUUUAAUUAAAAAACACUAAGAGACGUCUAUUAAAUAAGAGAUUUAAGAGACGUCUCUUAGUUUUUUUAGUUAAAAGAUAAAAGACCGUAUCUUAUAUUAC
rnacentral:pre_miRNA from 1 species